rnacentral:rRNA from 1 species
UACGGAGGGUGCAAGCGUUGUUCGGAUUGACUGGGCGUAACGGGCGUGUAGGCGGUUGGUUAAGUCAGGUGUGAAAGCCCGGGGCUCCGCUCCGGAAGUGCGCCCGAAACUGGCUAGCUGGAGCGCGGUAGAGGAGGGUGGAAUUCCUGGUGUAGCGGUGAAAUGCGUAGAUAUCAGGAGGAACACCGGCGGCGAAGGCGGCCCUCUGGACCGUUGCUGACGCUGAGACGCGAAAGCGUGGGGAGCAAACAGG